AAGAUACUAGUAAAAACAAUUACACUACCUUGUCAAGGUAGAAUUGUAGGUUAAAAUCCUGCGCAUCUUA
rnacentral:tRNA from 1 species